rnacentral:tRNA from 1 species
UCGUAGCUCAAUUGGAUAGAGCAUCUGACUACGGAUCAGAAGGUUGUGAGUUCGAAUCCCGCC